rnacentral:misc_RNA from 1 species
UUAAGUUCAGCGGGUAUUCCUACCUGAUCCGAGGUCAACCAUUGAAAAUAGGGGGUUUAACGGCAAGACGUCAGCACCGGCACCUAAAGCGAGAAAAAAUUACUACGCUUGGGGUCAGCACGACUCCGCCACUCUAUUUGAGGAGCUAUCCGAAGAUAGGCUCCCAAAACCAAGCAACUGAGGCUUGAGGGUUGAAAUGA